rnacentral:rRNA from 1 species
AUGGAUCUUGCAAUAUCCGCCGUUACAGGUGAUCUUGCCAGCCGAUUCAUCUCUUUCCUCAUGAACAAAUAUGUGGAUCAUCUGUACUCGGAGCAGAAGGUGGAGAGGCUACAGCAACUCUUGUUGAGAGUUCACACGGUCGUGGAGGAGGCAGAUGGACGACACAUCACCAACUCUUGUAUGCUCAUGCAGUUGAAGACGCUAUCAGCAGCAAUGUACCAAGGGUACCAUGUGUUGGACAACAUCAGGCAACAUAAUGGGGCAUCCAAGGACUCGGUGAGCGAUUCAUCUACCUCGUCAGAUUAUAUAAUUCCUUUCAAACGUGCUCGCACAGCCAAUAGUUCUUCGACAAUCAAGGCCUUCAACUGGGAGUUACAAAGUGCACUUCAGAAUCUGGAAGCUGUGGUUGACCACAUGGUGGAGUUUGUCGUGCUUUUGGGCGGAUGCGAGCGCGUCUCCCGUAGACCCUACGACACCUAUCUUCACGUCGACAACUUCUUGUUUGGUCGGCAUGUCGAGAAGCAGCAGAUCAUCAGCUUCUUGCUGCAAGAGAACAUGCCUGGUCCUCCGGCAGUGCUACCAGUCGUCGGUGGACGUGGAGUUGGGAAGAGAACUCUUGUAGCACAUGUAUGCAGGUAUGACAGGGUGCGUUCUCACUUCGCGGUUAUUUUGCACCUGAGUGGAGACGGUCUUACCAAAAUAACAGAUAAUGAAAUUCCGUCAGGGAAGAUACUGGUAGUUGUUGAGUUUGCUUCUGAUGUAGAUGACGAUGACUGGAAAACAUUUUAUUCAACUGUUACGAGCAUGGAUAGAGGAAGCAAAGUGAUAAUCUUAGGCCGAAAUGAAAGCUUGAAGAAAUUUGGGACCGUACAGACUAUUUCUCUGAACCGUCUGGCAUUCGAGGAGUACAAGUACCUGCUCAAGACACUCGCAUUCGGAAGCGCGAACCCAGGAGACCAUCCGCAGUUAGCAGAGAUAGUGGAAGAGUUUGCUGUGGUGUUGGGAGGAUCACUCAUCCCAGGAAACUUGAUUGCACAUGCAGUGAGAAAGAACCUGAAUGCCCAUUUCUGGCUUAGCACAUUGAACAGGAUCAGAAUCACAAUGAAGAUGAACAUUUCCAGGUUUGGCUUCCAUCCAAAUGAGCUUUUGGAUCAAGGCCGUCCGGUACACCUCGGCCGUCAUUACCUCUUGUCUCCUGCUGCUCCCUCUCCUAGCUCUCCAAAUAGCAGUCUACCCAAACUGGUAUUUGGGGACUCGCUAGCAGAAGCAGGCCAUACUGUUCCACCGAAGGGAGAUUUUUGGCUAGUCGCAUGGGAGUCAAGGUUACCCCCAUACACUUCAUUUUCUCAUCUGGUUCGCUUUGUUCCAAGUUGUGUCGAUGAUAAGCCUGAAGCAUCCUUGUCAGGGAAGAAGCGUCUGGGGCCAUCUGCCUAG